UCGAACAGCAUGUCACGACGGACAGUGGUGAACGCAGAGAUGCGAGGAAGGGCGAGAUUCUAUGCGGGAGUCAACCCCUAAUCGACUCUACUGACCGGGAUGUUGUUAGGGUCGUUUUUGCCUUGAGAUGCUGUUCUUUCUUUAAAUUCUUUACUAUUAUAAGCUUUAGUUUUAGCGCGAAAUCCACUGAGAUUUUAAGUGAGACAUAAUAAAGUUCUUCUGUGUUAAUUAUAUUAUUAAAAGUGAUUAAUUAAACCUAUUGAAAUGGAUUUAACAAACAGCAGCAGCUCUGACAGCUAACUUGAGUCAAAAAUCAGAUUAAGGCAUGUUUCUUUCCGAAAAUCUGAUGUCGGACAAGACGUUUUUAUUCAAAAUGUGUGUCUUAUUUGUUUGGAACGAGGAAGGCUGGUUAAUUCUCAAGAAAGAUCUAAAAAAACUUUUAUUCAAUGCACGAGUGAACGUAUGAAAAAUUGUCAUGAUGAUAAAUAUAUGCGGCAUAUAUUCUCAAAAUUUGAUGAUCUACAAAAUCAAGAUUUUUUUAAACGGCACAAAAAUUGUUACAAAUCCUAUAUGAGCUCAAAGAACAUUACCUCGUACAAGUCAAAAAAUACUAAACUGACGUUUCGUAGAGAAGAUAUUUUUCAAAAACGGCCCUUGCGAUCACCUUUUAAUUCACAAAAGUGCAUCUUUUAUCAGAAGCGCUCACCGAAACAAAAACUAUGCCAAGUUAUGACUAAUAAUAUACAAAAAAAA
rnacentral:lncRNA from 1 species